UACGUAGGUGGCAAGCGUUGUCCGGAUUUAUUGGGUUUAAAGGGUGCGUAGGCGGCCCUGUAAGUCAGCGGUGAAAUACGGCAGCUCAACUGUCGAGGUGCCGUUGAUACUGCGGGGCUUGAGUGUUGAUGAGGCAGGCGGAAUUGACGGUGUAGCGGUGAAAUGCUUAGAGAUCGGCAGGAACACCCAGGGGGAAACCAGCGGACUGGCUCGUUGCUGACACUGAGGUGCGACAGCGUGGGGAGCGAACGGG
rnacentral:rRNA from 1 species